CCUACGGGUGGCUGCAGUGAGGAAUAUUGGUCAAUGGGCGCGAGCCUGAACCAGCCAAGUAGCGUGAAGGAUGACUGCCCUACGGGUUGUAAACUUCUUUUAUAAAGGAAUAAAGUGAGGCACGUGUGCCUUUUUGUAUGUACUUUAUGUAUAAGGAUCGGCUAACUCCGUUCCAGCAGCCGCGGUAAUAUGGUGGAUCCGAGCGUUAUCCGGAUUUAUUGGGUUUAAAGGGAGCGUAGAUGGGUUGUUAAGUCAGUUGUGAAAGUUUUCGGCUCAACCGUAAAAUUGCAAUUGAUACUGGCAGCCUUGAGUACAGUUGAGGUGAGCGGAAGUCGAGGUGUAGCGGUGAAAUGCUUAGAUAUAACGAAGAACUCCGAUUGCGAAAGCAGCUUACUAAUCUGCCACUGACAUUGAUGCUCGAAAGUGUGGGUAGCAAACAGGAUUAGAUACCCGGGUAGUC
rnacentral:rRNA from 1 species